rnacentral:rRNA from 1 species
GGAAGGUGCAAGCGUUAAUCGGAAUUACUGGGGCGUAAAGCGCGCGUAGGCGGCUAGAUUAGUCGGGUGUGAAAGCCCUGGGGCUCAACCUGGGGAACUGCAUUCGAUACUGUCUAGCUAGAGUCUGGUAGAGGGAGGCGGAAUUCCGCAUGUAGCGGUGAAAUGCGUAGAGAUGCGGAGGAACACCAAUGGCGAAGGCAGCCUCCUGGACUAACACUGACGCUGAGGCGCGAAAGCGUGGGGAGCAAACAGGAUUAGAUACCCUGGUAGUCCACGCCGUAAACGAUGUCAACUAGCCGUUGGGAGCAUUUUGGCUCUUGGUGGCGCAGCUAACGCGAUAAGUUGACCGCCUGGGGAGUACGGUCGCAAAGAUUAAA